GGGGCUGUGGCGCAGUUGGGAGCGCGCUUGAAUCGCACUCAAGAGGUCGGGGGUUCGAAUCCCCCCAGCUCCAC
rnacentral:tRNA from 1 species